GGGGACGGGCGGGCGGACGGGCGCGCGCCGCGGGACGGGACUCGGCCGGCUCCGGCAGCCUGCCGUCCUUGGCUCUUUCUCGCUCCCAGAACUUCAGCGGCCACACAGCCCCGCGCUGGCCCGGGACGCGGGAGGAGCGCCCCGCGGUGCGCAGUCGCGUGCCCUCUCCGCUCCAGGGCCAGCAUUUGGCUCGCGGGUCUCUGGCCUGCGCGCCGUAGCGCCGGGUUCGGAGCCCGCCCUAGUAUCUGGUUCCUCGUUAGAACCUGACACCCGCUAGCAGAGAUAGACUCUAAGCGCUCGUGGAAACACCGCCAGCGGAGAUCGCGGCGCCUGGCGACGGGCACCGGGAGGUGUGAACUGACUCUCACCUGAGACGCCCAACCACCGCCCUGCUUCGCUUUUCACGGAUUUCAAAGCAAACCGGGAAAAGUGUGACUCGGGAAGAAAAGUGACUUGCGCCCCCGGUCCAAAAGGCAGGAGCGGAUACCGAGCUGGAAGCGGGCAACAGUUUUACUACGGUAAAGCAGCUGACUAGGUGCCUGAUUUUUUUUUUUUUAAGUCUUUAGGCUUCAACUAGCACCUUCACAAGCCCUUAUCCUAGUGUGUGCUAACCCUAGACCCGUGCGUGUGUGCUUUCCUGCCCCACAUGCGACAUGCAUACCAAAAGUCUGCCCAUUCUGAUUCAUGUGUGUCUUGUCAAAACAAAAUCCUCCCAGGCGCUGCAGAUAAAAGGGCUCCACAAUAACCAAGUACACAAAAACGAGCAGCUGAGAAGCGCCGGCAAAGGCCGCCUACCCUGGAACUCCGGCCUCCGGGCUUUGCGCGCCGCCUGUCACUCAAGUGACGUGCGGGCCCGCCCCUGCACCAAGCUAGUUCGACGCGUACAAACAGAUGAUGUCAUUGUCUCUACACGCGCGUGACCCCGGAGCCCUGCGCCGCGUCGCCAUUCGCUGCGCCGCUUCCUCGUCAAGCCAAGCCGCGCGCUGACUGGCCGCCGCCGCAAGUCUCUAGGCCCCGGACGCCCCUCUCUACCCCUCGCCCCCGCCCCCAGCAAAUAAUAAACAAUCGAGUAAAAUUGGAAGGACAGAGGGGCGGGAGGAGUCGGGGAGCGAAGGCGCUCCGGGAGCCAGCCUUCGGCGCGCGCAGACGGCGGGAGGACUAGAGGGGGGAAUCGUGCCGGGAGGAGGGUGUGGAGGAGGAGGAGCGGACCUGGGCCGCACGCUCCGGCAGGACAAGAAACUUGCAGAACCUCGGCGAGCAGAGCCUGCCGAAAGCAAGAAAAUCAGAAACAAAGAAGGAAGGAAGAAAGG
rnacentral:lncRNA from 1 species